UAUGUCACAGAGAGUCUGAACUGUUUCCAUGCACUCACACUGAAAACUGCAUCAGGAUGAUGUUGCUAAUAACUCUGUUUGUCAUGUUGGGUUUUCUGAGUCAGGAGUCGUCUGCCAACAAAUUUCUGACUCAGGCUGACAAAUCCAAGUCUGUUAGUCUUGGAGGGACUGUGACCAUCAGCGCCUCAGGGAGUUCAGAUAUUGAUGCUGAUCUCAGUUGGUACCUUCAGAAACCUGGACAGGCUCCUAAACUUCUUAUAUACAAAGCAUCAACUCUCUUCACUGGAACUCCACCUCGAUUCAGUGGCAGUAGAUCUGGUUCUCACUACACUUUAACCAUCAGUGGUUUUAAGGCUGAAGAUGCUGGAGAUUACUACUGUCUGGGUGCUCAUACUGGUGGAGUGUUGACUUUUGGUGGAGGAACCAAACUCAUCAUUUACUCUGGCCCCAUGGUCAGGCCCUCAGUCUCUCUGCUUCCCCCUUCCUCUGAGCAGCUCUCAGGGGGCUCGGCCACGCUGGCCUGCCUGCUGACUGGCUACUCUCCUCAGGGAGCCGUGGUGAGCUGGGAGCUGGACGGUACAGAGGUGACAGAGGGGGUCCUGAGCAGCUCCGAGGAGGAGAAGAGUGGACGCUACAGCAGCAGCAGCACCCUGAGCCUGAGCCAGGAGCGCUGGAUGUUAGGAGAGCUGUACUCCUGCAAGGUCCUCCAUCAUGGCCACAGCCAGACCCAGUCCCUCCACAGGAGCCAGUGUAAGGGCUAGAGGGGCUGGCUGAAGCCCAGGACAGGAGCUCUGUGUGGGGGGAGCAGGAGGAACACACCUGCUGCUCUGAUCAAUAUGAGUUUCAAUGUUUGUAGAGGAAACUAAAGCUUUUUGUGACAGAGAACAGCACUGCUGUAAAGUGUUGGACAGCAACUUAGAGAGUAAUGUGUGUAGCUCAGCAGCUGGAUGUGUGUGUGCUUAAUAACUGUCAUGUUGAUGAUUGAUGUUGCUGCUAAUAAAGCUUUCACUGAUGAAUGACA